AUUGAACGCUGGCGGCAGGCCUAACACAUGCAAGUCGAACGGUAACAGGAAGAAGCUUGCUUCUUUGCUGACGAGUGGCGGACGGGUGAGUAAUGUCUGGGAAACUGCCUGAUGGAGGGGGAUAACUACUGGAAACGGUAGCUAAUACCGCAUAACGUCGCAAGACCAAAGAGGGGGACCUUCGGGCCUCUUGCCAUCGGCUGUGCCCAGAUGGGAUUAGCUAGUAGGUGGGGUAACGGCUCACCUAGGCGACGAGCCCUAGCUGGUCUGAGAGGAUGACCACCCCCGCUAGGACGGUAGCAAGGUCCCGACUCCUGCCGGGAGCGGCCGUGGGGAAGAUUGGACCAUGGGCGCAAGCCUGAUGCAGCCAUGCCGCGUGUAUGAAGAAGGCCUUCGGGUUGUAAAGUACUUUCAGCGGGGAGGAAGGGAGUAAAGUUAAUACCUUGACUCAUUGACGUUACCCGCAGAGGAAGCACCGGCUAACUCCGUG
rnacentral:rRNA from 1 species